ACGGAGGGUCCAAGCGUUAUCCGGAUUUAUUGGGUUUAAAGGGUCCGCAGGCGGAAGAAUAAGUCAGUGGUGAAAUCCUAUCGCUUAACGAUAGAACUGCCAUUGAUACUGUUUUUCUUGAGUAUACUUGAAGUGGGCGGAAUGUGUCAUGUAGCGGUGAAAUGCAUAGAUAUGACACAGAACACCGAUUGCGAAGGCAGCUCACUAAAUUAUAACUGACGCUCAUGGACGAAAGCGUGGGGAGCAAACAGG
rnacentral:rRNA from 1 species